rnacentral:RNase_MRP_RNA from 14 species
GGCUUCGCAGUUCGCACACGGGGAGCUUGCUCCCAGAGAUGCUGCGAGGAAAGUCCCCGCGCCUUGGUGCAGAGGGUGCGAGUGGGAGACCGCACGGCUCGUGCCAGACCUCCAGUGGUGAUGCUUCUCGUGGCGGGCGCGGGCCCUUAGCAGCAGCACAGACAUGCCGUGAGCGCUCAUGAUUGGAGCGCCAACAGAACGGGGCUCACUCUCC